rnacentral:rRNA from 1 species
GCACGGGUGAGUAACACGUGGAUAAUCUACCCAUCAAUUCGGGAUAACAGUUGGAAACGGCUGCUAAUACCGUAUACGAUCUGAUUUUAUCGUUAGAUGAAAGGCGGCCUCUGCAUAUGCUGUCGUUGAUGGAUGAGUCCGCGUCUCAUUAGGUAGUUGGUAGGGUAACGGCCUACCAAGCCGACGAUGAGUAGCCGGCCUGAGAGGGUAAUCGGCCACACUGGGACUGGAACACGGCCCAG